rnacentral:rRNA from 2 species
UUCUCCUGGGGAAAAGGGUGGUAAUGCCGGAUGCUCCAGUUGAUCGCAUGGUCUUCUGGGAAAGCUUUCGCGGUAUGGGAUGGGGUCGCGUCCUAUCAGCUUGACGGCGGGGUAACGGCCCACCGUGGCUUCGACGGGUAGCCGGCCUGAGAGGGCGACCGGCCACAUUGGGACUGAGAUACGGCCCAGACUCCUACGGGAGGCAGCAGUGGGGAAUAUUGCACAAUGGGCGCAAGCCUGAUGCAGCGACGCCGCGUGAGGGAUGGAGGCCUUCGGGUUGUAAACCUCUUUUAUCGGGGAGCAAGCGAGAGUGAGUUUACCCGUUGAAUAAGCACCGGCUAACUACGUGCCAGCAGCCGCGGUAAUACGUAGGGUGCAAGCGUUAUCCGGAAUUAUUGGGCGUAAAGGGCUCGUAGGCGGUUCGUCGCGUCCGGUGUGAAAGUCCAUCGCUUAACGGUGGAUCCGCGCCGGGUACGGGCGGGCUUGAGUGCGGUAGGGGAGACUGGAAUUCCCGGUGUAACGGUGGAAUGUGUAGAUAUCGAAAAAGAACACCA